CAGCGAGCUGCUUGACCACGCUGCUGGACUCUUCCUGGGUGCAUAAUCAAAUAUAUAAGUAAAAAUUGACAUUUCCUUUGAGAACUACUUGGACAGUGACCUGAACAUCUCAAGAAAAACCUUGGUGGAAUUGCAUGAACCUGAUUUGGGUCAAAAUUAAGCACCACGCUGAAAAUCAUGCCUUUGUGAAAUGACAAAUUGAAAGUGUUCAGAAAUUGCAUUUGAACUAGUUGAGAUCCUGAUACAGGAGCCAGAAGUGACUAAGGCGACAGUCUUCAG
rnacentral:lncRNA from 1 species